rnacentral:tRNA from 1 species
GAGGGUAUAGCUCAGAGGUGGAGCACAUGCUUAGCACCCAUGACAUCCUGGGUUUAAUCCCAAGUACCUCCA